rnacentral:lncRNA from 1 species
AGCUGAUCCCAGGAUAUUAGCAGGGCUUUUGGCCACAUGGGGAGUCAGUAUGCAUCCCCCACUUCCUUGGCCAGAAUCUAGGCAGACGUGGGGAGUUUUCUUCACACUUAACUGAGGGUCCAAAAACAACAGAGAAAGAAGCUGGGGACCAUGGCGGUGACACCUUCGUUCCUGGGGGCAGUGCAGGUCCGCUGUGUUACACAGAAACCUGGUAUGGACUCUUCUCCCUUCUGACCACAGCCGAGACUCAGAGGGACCUGCGUGUCUCUAGGAGGGAUUAUCAGUGGACAUCUCUGAAUCUCUCCAUCUGGACCCUCAGUCAGACUUCUGGAAGACCGAAGAUCCUGUCUCUGGUCAGCUCCGUUCUUCUGGGUCACACUGCAUCCUGAUCUGGGGCUGCUCCAUCCUGUGAGGCCCCCCUCCAGUCCUGAAGCAGCCUGAACUACCCCCCCUUCUCCUGCCUUCUACAGCAGCCACAGUGGUAUCACUCCCAGCUGUUCCUGAGCUGGUUCCCAAGCUCAAGGCUAAGUGGCUCCGCCCGGAUCAGCAACCUUGCCAUGAACAGGUCAGACUGUGUUCAAACACCACCAAUGUAGAUUUAAUGCAAUCAGCCACUUACCCAACAGUUCCAAAUUAAAUGCAGACGCACUCAACACGUCUGCUAAGUCUUAU